rnacentral:lncRNA from 1 species
CUGGAUGAGCGGCGUGUCCUGCUGCUGAUUAUUUUGAAAUAGCAGCGAUGUUUUGAAACAGGCAUGUCUCCGUUGGCAGAUAAGAAAGACGAAGUGAAGUGAGGCACCAGCACACCACAGUGCUCCGUCAAGCUCUUGUCUAUUAAACAAACGCUUUUUCUGAGGCUGUCAAAAGCACAAGCUGCCAUGGUAAUGACAGGAAGAUAUGGGUGAAAUGCCAGCCCUAAUUAGAGACUUGAUUGCUCUGUAAUAACAAGGCCUGUAUUUGAUUUGGACGGUUCUGGGUUGUCAGGUAAAAUGAAUUAAAUAUGUCUGCACUUUCAUUUCAAAAUGUGAAAAAUGUGAAUGUGCAUUAUUUAUAUUGUAUUUCAUGGCUAUAAUUAAUUAUGUGUCUGUGGACAUGAUGUCCCAAAGACAGUUGAUUUUAUGUUCAAUCUGUAUGUGCAUUUGUAAAACUAAUUUGUUCUCAUUAAAAUUUUUAAGGGUUUAUUCGAGUUAAACUCAGGAGGCCUUUCUGGGUAUACAACUCACAAAAUACAAAGCAAAAGUCGAAUUUACAUUUUUUUUGCUAGUAAACUAUUCAAUGCCUGAAGCAUUGUACUAGAUAUUAUUGUAGUGAAUAUGGUGGGCUAUAAAAAUAAAGAGAAGACAUACUUCCUUUUCAGAUAGUGCUUUUAAACUUGUUUGGAAGACUUCGGUAUAAAACAAAUGAACAUAAUGCAACCUGAGCUUCUAUUACUUAGUAAAAGAACAUUGUGUUUUGUCAAAGAAAUAUUAAGUCUGUAUGAUGAGUUGAACAGUUUUUCUUGUGAAUAUCCUAUAGAAAUGUGGAAGAUAUUUUGCUUUCUAAAACACUGUUCGGAAUUUCUUCCAGUUGUAAUUUUUAAUAUUUGCUAAAUGUAUCAACCAUUAAUAUUAAAAUUUUCAAAUAUAUUCUCUCAAGUAGUAUAAAGCUUUUUUUCUUAUCAGUGACAGCAGUACUUUCAAGCAGACCCACAAAUGAACUUCAAUACUGAAAAUAAUUUGUGUAUCUCAAGUUCACUAACAUUAAUUCUCUUCAUUGUAGUUGGAUAUCGUUGCAGUUAUUAAAGCAAUAUUUACCAAAAAAUUAUUUUUCAUCAUUUUAGUUUUUUCUAUGGGAGUAAAUCCCUAGGUGUUCCUAGUCAGGCUAUAAUUAAUUAGUAGUUCAAUGUGAAUGUUGGGUAGUUCACAGACAUAUUAGAGCUAAUUUCAAUAUUAAAAAAUAAUAUUAGCAUGAAUCAAUGAAUUUACAGAGAAUAUUUAUGUCUGAAAUAAAGAGAUUGGCUUCCAU